rnacentral:rRNA from 1 species
GACGAACGCUGGCGGCGUGCUUAACACAUGCAAGUCGAACGGAAAGGCCCUGCUUUUGUGGGGUGCUCGAGUGGCGAACGGGUGAGUAACACGUGAGUAACCUGCCCCUGACUUUGGGAUAACUUCAGGAAACUGGGGCUAAUACCGGAUAGGAGCUCCUGCUGCAUGGUGGGGGUUGGAAAGUUUCGGCGGUUGGGGAUGGACUCGCGGCUUAUCAGCUUGUUGGUGGGGUAGUGGCUUACCAAGGCUUUGACGGGUAGCCGGCCUGAGAGGGUGACCGGCAAAAUGGGGAAGGAGAAACGGCCGAGACUCCUAGGGGGGGCAAAGGGGGGGAAAAUUGCAAAAGGGGGGGAAGGCGGAGGCGGCAACCCCGGGGGGGGGAGGAGGGCCUUGGGGUUGAAAACCGCUUUCGCCGGGGACGAAGGGGGGGGGGGGGUAAUGGGAAAAGAAGCACCGGCAAACUAGGU